ACUCAAAUGAAUAGACGGGGGCCCGCACAAGCGGCGGAGCGUGCGGUUUAAUUCGACGCGACGCGCAGAACCUUACCAGGGCUUGACAUGCGCCUGCACGGCUGGGAAACCAGUCAGCCUUCGAGGGUGGCGCACAGGUGCUGCAUGGCUGUCGUCAGCUCGUGCCGUGAGGUGUUGGGUUAAGUCCCGCAACGAGCGCAACCCCCGUGGUUAGUUGCCGAUGUUUCUAACCAGACUGCCGCGUGCAACGCGGAGGAAGGCGGGGAUGACGUCAAGUCAGCAUGGCCCGUACGUCCUGGGCUACACGCACGCUACAAUGGCCGGGACAGUGAGUAGCCAAGCCGCGAGGCGGAGCGAAUCUCCCAAACCCGGUCUCAGUUGGGAUCGCGGGCUGCAACUCGCCCGCGUGAACGUGGAGUCGCUAGUAACCGCAGGUCAGCACUACUGCGGUGAAUACGUUCCCGGGCCUUGUACACACCGCCCGU
rnacentral:rRNA from 1 species